AUAGCAUGGCAUAGUGGUUUCAGCAUUGGACUAUGACUCUGGAGAUCAGGGUUCGAAUCCCAGCUUGGCCAUG